GGGCGGGUAGCCUAACCAGGAUAGGGCGCAGGCCUCCGGAGCCUGAGGUUAGGGGUUCAAAUCCCCUCCCGCCCG
rnacentral:tRNA from 1 species